GGGCUGGGCAGGGGUGGGGCUGCUGGGCAGGUUCCUGUACCUGAGCGCCAUGGAGCGCGGAGAGCUGGCCAAGAAGAUCGGCACCACCCCCGACAUCGUGAGUCACACCUGGGCAGGUGUGGGGCCGGGCAGGUGUGGGGCACACAGGUGUGGGGCUGGGCAGGUGUGGGGCUGCUGGGCAGGUUCCUGUACCUGAGCGCCAUGGAGCGCGGAGAGCUGGCCAAGAAGAUCGGCACCACCCCCGACAUCAUCCUGGACGACCUCCUGGAGAUCGACCGAGUCACCGCCCACUUCUGAGGGACCCAAAAUCCCCCAAAUUCCCCCCAAAAUUAAAAAAAACAGCAACAAAAAAAAUUUUCCCUAAAAAACCCAAAAAAUCACCUAAAACCCCAAAAAAUCCUAAAAAAAACCCCCAAAAAAUUUCCUAAAAAUCCCCCAAAAUUUUUUUAAGAUUCCCCUCCCAAAAAAAUUUCCCAAAAUCCCAAAAAAUUCCCACAAAAGCCCCAAAAUUCCCGUUUGUAAUAAAACGCGAUUCUCACA